rnacentral:rRNA from 1 species
UACAGAGGGUGCAAGCGUUGUUCGGAAUUACUGGGCGUAAAGGGCUCGUAGGCGGCCAACUAAGUCAGACGUGAAAUCCCUCGGCUUAACCGGGGAACUGCGUCUGAUACUGGAUGGCUCGAGUUUGGGAGAGGGAUGCGGAAUUCCAGGUGUAGCGGUGAAAUGCGUAGAUAUCUGGAGGAACACCGGUGGCGAAGGCGGCAUCCUGGACCAACACUGACGCUCAGGCACGAAAGCGUGGGGAGCAAACAGG